UCCUGGAAGCACACGUAUGCCGCACACACACUGAACCGUAAGGGAGUGAGAAGCACCAACAGGUUUGUGGGACUCAGCACAGGUACCAGUGAACGUGGAGCAAGUCCCUAAAUAAGGCAACUAUCAACUUUGAACAAAGAGUUGUAAAAGAAAAAUGUAAUCAUCAUGGUUUAUUGCUUGACUCGUAUCGAUGAGAAUUUGCAUUGUGUGGCAGUGCUCUGUUCGGAGUGUAAGUACUGAGUACUGGCCCGACCCGGAGCAAUGUUUUUAUUAAUGAAGGAACGAACCGUGUGUUGGGAAGGGGGUGGGGCAGGACUUCACUGCUGGAUUAAAUCAAUGGAGGACUCAUGAAGAUUAAUUGGCCCCAGGAAGAUAAAGUGGUAUCAGAUCAACACCGCGCCAACCCUCCUCUUCCUGCAUCCCUGGAACCAUGUUGAGGCGACUCCUGAUACAGAGUAAGUAGUUGUUGUGAAGCUGGAUAGACAAGGGUAAAAUGAAGUACAGUCGGUUAACAGCAAAUACAGGAGAUAUUCCUUCAUGUACUUCCCUUAAGAUUCAGGGAACAAAAGUCAUUUGGAUGGAAAUAAAGCAGGAUAACUUAAGGAAACUGAGGUCUUGGUGAAGGCAACUCAGAAAUAGGGUACUUAGAAGCACAGAAGUGUUAUCUUUGCUCCAAAGAGAGACAACAGGAGGAAUUCCUUCCUGAGGAAUGCAUUCCUCACCCCAAGAAUUUACACUUGUCUGACAAGAUGUAUGCCUUCCUGAGAAAAACCACUUCCCCAAACUUAAGCCACCUCCAGCCCCAAAAGGCAGAUAGCAGGGCACCUCCUUGUCUCCAGGAUAAAGAUCUGUUUUAUGGCAACUCAGAAAGUAACACCGGGUAUGGUUAAAGCCAGCCAGACCCCCCUGCCUUUACCCUAUAAAUACCCAAACAGCCCAGGGAGGGUGUGUGUGUGUGUGUGUGUGUGUGUGUGUGUGUGUGUGUGUGUGUGUGUGUGUCUCCUGUGUGUCUCUCCCCAUGUUUGUCUCUCUGUGUCUCUCUUCCUAUGAGUGCACCCACACUCUGCUAGAAGGUGCCCCUGCCCUUCUGUUUGUCUGCUUUUUGUGCUUGCCUGCUUGCCUGCUUGUUUACUUACUCCGUAAAGCUCUGCCAAGUUUUCUUACCAUUGUGACUUGUCCAACAAUUCUUAUUCUGCAAUCAAAGUCAAGGUCCCUAAGUGGAGAGUUCCUACAUUUAAAGGGAAGUUUCACUAAACCUCACCUCCAUCUGGGGACAGUUAGUGUUUACCAAAUAAUGACAAGGAGGGGGAAAAAAGAUCAAUAUGGUUGACAGGGAAUUU